rnacentral:rRNA from 1 species
UACGUAGGGUGCAAGCGUUGUCCGGAAUUAUUGGGCGUAAAGAGCUCGUAGGCGGUCUGUCGCGUCUGCUGUGAAAACUCGGGGCUUAACCCCGGGCCUGCAGUGGGUACGGGCAGACUAGAGUGCGGUAGGGGAGAACGGAAUUCCUGGUGUAGCGGUGAAAUGCGCAGAUAUCAGGAGGAACACCGGUGGCGAAGGCGGUUCUCUGGGCCUGUACUGACGCUGAGGAACGAAAGCGUGGGGAGCGAACAGG